GGCCAGGCUCGCGCUCACCGCCGCAUCGACUUGGAGUCGGAAACAGGGAUCCCACCCGCCGGCGCCUCUCUGUCCCUGACAGAGGCCUGGACAGCAGAGACGCGAGGAGGCGCCCCUCACAAGCAGGGGCCUCAAGGAGGAGCCACUCCUGAAAGCCAGCAGAGCUGGGAACGUGCUGGGUCACACUCGAAGCCAGCAUGUCUGAGUCUCACCAAUGGCACAUGGUAUAAUGCAGGACACUAUCCUACAGAGUUCUGGACUUAGGACACAUGAAUGCACUGCAGGACUGGAGAACUGAUUUCUUUCACUAGUAUGAGCACAAUGCUAUUCCCUGUAAACUAGAGAAGAAUUUUGUUCU